GGAAUAUUAGGCAAAGAUGGUUAGAAAAAUCAGAUCGUCCAUUCAACUGUUUCUUGCCUCCUCAGGGAAGAAAAGAUUCUCAUCCCACCAUGAAACGCCUUUGUCGAGGUGACCAAGACAGCUGAAUCCAACAGCCGGCCUGCAACCUCCUCGUCCUCCACGCAGCACUACCUUUCCUCGCUUGGUCUCCAGACAGCAUCCUCUCCAGGUGUCCUCCUUAAUUCAUCCAGAGCUCAGCCCAAAUGUCACCUGAUUAGACCCUCCUGACCCCUCUCUCUUUUUUCUGAAUUUUUUUUUUUUUUUUUUUUAGAGACGUAGUCUCACUCACUGUGUUGCCCAGGCUGGUUUCUAACUACUGACCUCAAGCAAUCCUCCUGCCUUGGCCUCCCAAAGUGCUAGGAUUACAGGCGUGAGCCACCAUGUCUAGCCCUGACCCCUUAUCUAAAUAGCUAAAUAUAUAUUAUAACAUGUAUUUUUGUUCUGAUAGAAUACCCAUACCCAGCUCCUAUCACUUUAAACUCUACUCAUCUUUUAGAAAACCAAUAACAUACUAUUUCCUCUGGGACAUCUUCCUUGACUCCAACACUACAGAGAGGGAAUUGUUGCAUAAAAAAUAUUUCCAAGGUUUUAUAUAAUAAAGCUGACCUGCU
rnacentral:lncRNA from 1 species